AUUGUCUUGGCCUGUCCUCAGGACCAGGUGCCUUCUCCUGUUCCCUGCUGAAGUCUUCCUUGUCCUGACAGGGAGCCAAGAUCAU
rnacentral:pre_miRNA from 1 species